rnacentral:rRNA from 1 species
GGUCAAGCAAUAAGGGCACAGGGCGGAUGCCUUGGCACUAAGAGCCGAUGAAAGACGUGAUAAGCUGCGAUAAGCUUCGGGGAGGAGCAAAUAUCC